CCUACGGGUGGCAGCAGUAGGGAAUCUUCCACAAUGGGCGCAAGCCUGAUCCAGCAACGCCGCGUGAGUGAAGAAGGCUUUCGGCUCGUAAAGCUCUGUUGUUGGAGAAGAAAGUGCGUGAGAGUAACUGUUCACGCAGUGACGGUAUCCAACCAGAAAGUCACGGCUAACUACGUGCCAGCAGCCGCGGUAAUACGUAGGAGGCAAGCGUUAUCCGGAUUUGUUGGGCGUAAAGCGAGCGCAGGCGGUCGCUUAGGUCUGAUGUGAAAGCCUUAGGCUUAACCGAAGAAGUGCAUCUGAAACCGGGCGACUUGAGUGCAGAAGAGGACAGCGGAACUCCAGGUGUAGCGGUGGAAUGCGUAGAUAUAUGGAAGAACACCAGUGGCGAAGGCGGCUGUCUGGUCUGCAACUGACGCUGAGGCUCGAAAGCAUGGGUAGCGAACAGGAUUAGAUACCCUGGUAGUC
rnacentral:rRNA from 1 species